CUCUCCACGAGGCAGCUCACGCCCAAGCCCAUGCGCAAGGGCCUCGCCAUCGCGACCCUGCUCAUACCCUGGAUGAUUUGGAAACACCAAAAUUAUUGUGUCUUUGAGAGAGCCAGCCCCUCAAUUGCGGCACUAAUGACCAAGAUCAAGGAGGAGGCGGCCCUCUGGGCUAGAGCUGGAGCGUUGGGGCUUCGCGCCCUCACCCCCCAAACCUGGGAUGUACACUGA
rnacentral:rRNA from 1 species